rnacentral:rRNA from 1 species
GCCUACGGGACGCAGCAGUGGGGAAUAUUGCACAAUGGGGGAAACCCUGAUGCAGCGACGCCGCGUGAAGGAAGAGGUAUCUCGGUAUGUAAACUUCUAUCAGCAGGGAAGAAAACAGACGGUACCUGACUAAGAAGCCCCGGCUAACUACGUGCCAGCAGCCGCGGUAAUACGUAGGGGGCAAGCGUUAUCCGGAUUUACUGGGUGUAAAGGGAGCGUAGACGGCGAUGCAAGUCUGAAGUGAAAGCCCGGGGCUCAACCCCGGGACUGCUUUGGAAACUGUAUGGCUGGAGUGCUGGAGAGGG